GUAGCUUAGUUGUUAGAUCACUCGUCUAGCAUACAAGAGUCGUGGGUUCGAAUCCCACC
rnacentral:tRNA from 1 species